AGAGUUUGAUCAUGGCUCAGAACGAACGCUGGCGGCAGGCUUAACACAUGCAAGUCGAACGAUGUAGCAAUACAUAGUGGCGCACGGGUGAGUAACGCGUGGGAAUAUACCUUAUAGUGGGGAAUAACUUUGGGAAACUAAAGCUAAUACCGCAUACGCCCGAGAGGGGAAAGAUUUAUCGCUAUAAGAUUAGCCCGCGUGAGAUUAGGUAGUUGGUGGGGUAAUGGCCUACCAAGCCUACGAUCUCUAGCUGGUCUGAGAGGAUGAUCAGCCACACUGGAACUGAGACACGGUCCAGACUCCUACGGGAGGCAGCAGUGGGGAAUAUUGGGCAAUGGAGGAAACUCUGACCCAGCCAUGCCGCGUGAAUGAUGAAGGCCUUAGGGUUGUAAAGUUCUUUCGCCGAUGAAGAUAAUGACGGUAGUCGGAGAAGAAGCCCCGGCUAACUUCGUGCCAGCAGCCGCGGUAAUACGAAGGGGGCUAGCGUUGUUCGGAAUUACCGGGCGUAAAGCGAGCGUAGGUUGCUCGAUAAGUCAGUGGUGAAAGCCCAGAGCUCAACUCUGGAACUGCCAUUGAAACUGUCGAGCUGGAAUCUCAGAGGGGGUAGCGGAAUUCCAAAUGUAGGGGUGAAAUCCGUAGAUAUUUGGAGGAACACCGGUGGCGAAGGCGGCUACCUGGAUGAGUAUUGACACUGAGGCUCGAAAGCGUGGGGAUCAAACAGGAUUAGAUACCCCGGUAGUCC
rnacentral:rRNA from 1 species